UUCCGUAGGUGAACCUGCGGAAGGAUCAUUAAACCAUUUGGCCGUAACAAGCCUUAAACCUUCUCUACGUGUACCUUCACAUUCUCCUUCGGUGGGGUAACGCCCGCCGAAGGAACCAUCAAAAAACCCUUUUUGCAUCUAGUAUCAUGUAACCAGUUCUGAUAAAAAUUUAAUCGUUACAACUUUCAACAAUGGAUCUCUUGGCUCUGGCAUCGAUGAAGAACGCAGCGAAAUGCGAUAAGUAGUGUGAAUUGCAGAAUUCAGUGAAUCAUCGAAUCUUUGAACGCACAUUGCGCCCCUUGGUAUUCCAUGGGGCAUGCCUGUUCGAGCGUCAUCUACACCCUCAAGCUCUGCUUGGUGUUGGGCGUCUGUCCCGCCUCCGCGCGUUGGACUCGCCCCAAAUCCAUUGGCAGCGUUCCUUGCCUCCUCUCGCGCAGCACAUUGCGCUUCUCGAGGGCGGCUCCGGGACGCGACCCACGAAAGAUGACCACCGUCUUUGACCUCGGAUCAGGUAGGGAUACCCGCUGAACUUAAGCAUAUCAAUAAGCGGAGGAACAAUCG
rnacentral:rRNA from 1 species